AGAGUUUGAUCCUGGCUCAGAGUGAACGCUGGCGGCAGGCCUAAUACAUGCAAGUCGAACGGCAGCACAGUGGAGCUUGCUCCAUGGGUGGCGAGUGGCGGACGGGUGAGGAAUACAUGGGAAUCUGCCCAGUCGUGGGGGAUAACGUAGGGAAACUUACGCUAAUACCGCAUGCGCCCUUCGGGGGAAAGCCGGGGACCUUCGGGCCUGGCGCGAUUGGAUGAGCCCAUGUCGGAUUAGCUAGUUGGCGGGGUAAAGGCCCACCAAGGCGACGAUCCGUAGCUGGUCUGAGAGGAUGAUCAGCCACACUGGAACUGAGACACGGUCCAGACUCCUACGGGAGGCAGCAGUAGGGAAUAUUGGACAAUGGGCGCAAGCCUGAUCCAGCCAUGCCGCGUGAGUGAAGAAGGCCUUCGGGUUGUAAAGCUCUUUUGUCCGGAAAGAAAAGCAUCCAGUUAAUACCUGGAUGUCCUGACGGUACCGGAAGAAUAAGCACCGGCUAACUUCGUGCCAGCAGCCGCGGUAAUACGAAGGGUGCAAGCGUUACUCGGAAUUACUGGGCGUAAAGCGUGCGUAGGUGGUUUGUUAAGUCUGAUGUGAAAGCCCUGGGC
rnacentral:rRNA from 1 species